GCCGUACAGCACCAUUAUUUUGACCGGUCUCUUUAGCAAUUUUUUUUGUUUUGUUGUUUCAUUAUGCAAAGAAGCAACAACGUGAUUUCCAUUUAUAUGGAAAACAACGCAGUUUUGAAUUGAUAGAGUAUCAACGUGACUUGGUAUUUUAUGGAAGAAAAAAAUAUUUUUUUUCUUUUCUCUCAAGAAUAAUAUUUGGGUUUUGCUCACUACUUCGAUGUCACUAUUUUAUUUUUGGUCGCGUUGCUUAAUUCGGGCUUUUGUCAAAGUAAAGUGAGAUAGAGGGAAAAUAUUUCUUGGCAUAUAAGGUAAGAAAUUCUCUUUUCAAGAUGUAUUUGAUUUAUCCAAGUCGUAUCUAUAUUGCUAGAUGAAAGAAAUACGAAAAUUAUAUUGGAAAUCGGAUAAAUAUUAUUUCCACGUAAAUGAUGGAGAGGUGCAGUAAGUGGGUGAUCCUCAUACAUAUGAGGUGAUGUGGCAGCAUGUAUUGGCGAGAAUUUUGUGUGUGUGUGUCAAAGGACACCACGUGUAGAACACAAGAUAUACAUCAACUGGAAUCAUUAUCUUAUAUGACUAAGAAGUCAUUUGAAGCACACGUUUUGUAUAACAUUAUUUUGUAUUGAGCAGCUUAUGAUUUACUCUUGAGGAAACAACAAUAUUUUGUUCUCGUCUUAUUAAGGAGACAGAUUGCGUUCCUUUAACAAAAGAAAGACAUGAAGUGCUACGAUUGAGGUAAGCUCAAAAGAAGACAUAAAGGCUAUAUCCAUGUCAUUUUCCUCCGUGUGAUAAAUUGGAGAUUUCUUCAAAGUGAAGUAGGACUGAGGAAGAGUAGUUCUUGGCAUAUAAGGUUUAUCGUAUUAAUUGUGGAAGUUCUUGGAUGGACCGAGCUCUUGAACGACGUGAGGUACAGACGUUCGUUCAGGUAACCCGCCAGUGUAGGGUACUUAUUCUGCUGUUUGGAGUACUCCUUUUGCUCCGGAGCUCAUAUUUUUGGUACAUAUCUUUUGUGAUACAUGUUUCUGUAUAUUUGAUUAUUUGGGGUACGGCGGGGCCCUGUCCUGCCAUAUAAUUCUGUCCUGGUUUGUAGAGGCCUGUAGACAUA